GUAGGUGGCAAGCGUUGUCCGGAAUUAUUGGGGCGUAAAGCGCGCGCAGGCGGUUCGUUUAAGUCUGAUGUGAAAGCCCACGGGCUCAACCGUGGAGGGUCAUUGGAAACUGGAGAACUUGAGUACAGAAGAGGAAAGCGGAAUUCCACGUGUAGCGGUGAAAUGCGUAGAGAUGUGGAGGAACACCAGUGGCGAAGGCGGCUUUCUGGUCUGUAACUGACGCUGAGGCGCGAAAGCGUGGGGAGCAAACAGGAUUAGAUACCCUGGUAGUCCACGCCGUAAACGAUGAGUGCUAAGUGUUAGGGGGGUUUCCGCCCCUUAGUGCUGCAGCUAACGCACUAAGCACUCCGCCUGGGGAGUACGGCCGCAAAGGCUG
rnacentral:rRNA from 1 species